rnacentral:rRNA from 1 species
UACGGAGGAUGCAAGCGUUAUCCGGAAUGAUUGGGUGUAAAGCGUCCGCAGGUGGCUGUGUAAGUCUGCUGUUAAAUAGUGAGGCUCAACCUCAUAAAGGCAGUGGAAACUACACGGCUAGAGUGCGUUCGGGGCAGAGGGAAUUCCUGGUGUAGCGGUGAAAUGCGUAGAGAUCAGGAAGAACACCGGUGGCGAAAGCGCUCUGCUAGGCCGCAACUGACACUGAGGGACGAAAGCUAGGGGAGCGAAUGGG